CCUACGGGUCGCUGCAGUGGGGAAUAUUGGACAAUGGGCGAAAGCCUGAUCCAGCCAUGCCGCGUGUGUGAAGAAGGCCUUCGGGUUGUAAAGCACUUUCAGUGGGGAAGAAAGCCUUGGGGCUAAUACCCUCGAGGAAGGACAUCACCCACAGAAGAAGCACCGGCUAACUCCGUGCCAGCAGCCGCGGUAAUACGGAGGGUGCGAGCGUUAAUCGGAAUUACUGGGCGUAAAGCGCGCGUAGGCGGUCUGAUAAGCCGGUUGUGAAGCCCCGGGCUCAACCUGGGAACGGCAUCCGGAACUGUCAGGCUAAAGUGCAGGAGAGGAAGGUAGAAUUCCCGGUGUAGCGGUGAAAUGCGUAGAGAUCGGGAGGAAUACCAGUGGCGAAGGCGGCCUUCUGGACUGACACUGACGCUGAGGUGCGAAAGCGUGGGUAGCAAACAGGAUUAGAUACCCCAGUAGUC
rnacentral:rRNA from 1 species